UACAGAGGGCGCGAGCGUUGUCCGGAAUCACUGGGCGUAAAGGGCGCGUAGGUGGCCACUAUAAGGCCGCGGUGAAAGUUCGGGGCUCAACCCUGAAUCUGCCGCGGCGACUGUAGGGCUUGGGCACUGUAGAGGCAGACGGAAUUCCGGGUGUAGCGGUGGAAUGCGUAGAGAUCCGGAAGAACACCGGUGGCGAAAGGCGGUCUGCUGGGCAGUGGACCCGUGAGGGUCCGAAUAGCCGACACUGAGGCGACGCAA
rnacentral:rRNA from 1 species